UCGCGUGUCUCAGAGUUUGAUCCUGGCUCAGGAUGAACGCUAGCGAUAGGCUUAACACAUGCAAGUCGAGGGGUAACAUGGGAGUAGCUUGCUACUUCUGAUGACGACCGGCGGAUGGGUGAGUAACGCGUAUGCAACUUGCCUCUUAGUGGGGAAUAACCCGGAGAAAUCCGGACUAAUACCGCAUACACUUAGUUAUCCGCAUGGAUGAUUAAGGAAAGAUUUAUUGCUAAGAGAUAGGCAUGCGUUCCAUUAGUUAGUUGGUGACGGUAACCGGCUCACCCAAGGCAUCGAUGGAUAGGGGAGCUGUAGAGGCCUUAGUCCCCCACAGUUGGGGACUGAGACACGGCCCAA
rnacentral:rRNA from 1 species